rnacentral:rRNA from 1 species
GACGAACCGAGCGAACGUUGUUCGGAAUCACUGGGCUUAAAGGGCGCGUAGGCGGGUGACUAAGUCUGUGGUGAAAUCCGGCAGCUUAACUGUCGAAUUGCCAUGGAUACUGGUUGUCUCGAGGGAGGCAGGGGUGCGCGGAACUAAUGGUGGAGCGGUGAAAUGCGUUGAUAUCAUUAGGAACUCCGGUGGCGAAGGCGGCGCACUGGUCCUCUUCUGACGCUGAGGCGCGAAAGCCAGGGGAGCAAACAGG